rnacentral:other from 1 species
UUUUUUCUGCUUGGUGCGUAGUGCAUCCUUUUGGACCCACAUUUUUUAAUCGGGAAGUUAGACUUCCUGGCCUGUUUGCAGACCUCCCGCCGCCGCUUUGACGGAUGGUGGAUGCUGGGAGCAGUGAUGGUCAGGAGCGGCAACCCACCUGCCAUUACGUGCAGGUCAUAAUUGGAUGUGGUACGGCCAAAGCGGAGGGUCU